rnacentral:rRNA from 1 species
UACGUAGGUGGCAAGCGUUGUCCGGAUUUAUUGGGUUUAAAGGGAGCGUAGGCGGAUUGGUAAGUCAGUGGUGAAAUCUGUGGGCUUAACCCACAAACUGCCAUUGAUACUGCUGAUCUAGAGUACAGUUGCCGUUGGCGGAAUAUGACAUGUAGUGGUGAAAUACUUAGAUAUGUCAUAGAACACCGAUUGCGAAGGCAGCUAACGAAGCUGUAACUGACGCUGAGGCUCGAAAGUGCGGGGAUCAAACAGG